rnacentral:rRNA from 1 species
GACGGACGCUGGCGGCGUGCUUAACACAUGCAAGUCGAACGGAAAGGCCCUGCUUUUGUGGGGUACUCGAGUGGCGAACGGGUUAGUAACACGUGAGUAACCUGCCCUUGACUUUGGGAUAACUUCAGGAAACUGGGGCUACUACCGGAUAGGAGCUCCUGCUGCAUGGUUGGUGUUUGAAAGUUACGGCGGUUAGGGAUGGACUCGCGGCUUAUCAGCUUGUUGGUGGGGUAGUGGCUUACCAAGGCAUUGACGGGUAGCCGCCCUGAGAGGGGGACCGGCGAAAUAGGGAGUGAGAUACGGCUCAGACUGCUACGAGAGGCAGCAGUAGAGAAUAUUGAACAAUGAGUGGAAGCCAGAAGCAGCAACAAUGAGUACGGGAUGACGGACAUCGGGUGGAAAACCGCUUUGGCAUGUGAGGAAGCGUUAGAGACGGUAAUGGGUAGAGAAGCACCGGGAAAGUACGUA